CCUCGCGCGCAGUCGACGUUCGGACAUUAUUAAAUAUACAUAUUGUAAUGUAUUCCGUAUAAUUAACGUCUCGAAAGUGUAUUUGAGUGGGUGACAUAUCAUAUAAAAAAAAAAAAAGAUGACAACACUUUCUCUUUUUUAUUUAGAAAAAUAAAUGUUAUAAAAUGCGCGUAACCUAAAUAAAUUAAUUAAAAAAUUCGAUUUUUGUGUGGAUGAGUAGAUUGAAUGUAUGUGUAUAGCCAUUAUAUUAGUCGUGAAUAUUGAUCAGACUGUUAUACCUAGUUAUUGCCAGUAAAUUAAUGAAAUUGUUAUUGAUAAACAAUUUAUUGAAAAUUGACAUUUGUUGAAAGUUGAAUUAUUUACUUCAAGAACUGAUAAGAUUUUGAAUGGAGGAUUAUAUUGUUAGUGUAAUCGGUAAAAAGAUUUUUUGUAUUAUGGAAUUAAUCGAUCAAUUGACAAUUAACCUUCAUUAGGACCAACAUUAAUAGGAAGCAGUUAGAUAAAAUUCAGCUCAAAAUGUUACAAUCACUGAACACAUUGGCGGGAAAAAUAUCACCAGGAUCACAUGGUGGUGUUGAUAAUCAUGUGUCGAAGCCGCACAUACCAAAUAACAAUAUGAUGUAUAAUAUGAAGAAAAUAAAAAAUGAUGUUAAUUAUAAUAAUAAUAAUCAUCAUCACAUAGAUAAAAAUCAUUAUAAAAAUGAUAUUGGAAAUAAACUAAAUAAUACUUCA